GGAUAUACACGAAGAUAAAACAGUCCCUACCAUCAAGGAGCUCAAAUUCUAAUGGGGAAGAUAACAUAACUUUGAAAUGAAGCUUGCAAAGAAGUCUUUCCAGUUUACCAUCCUUCCAACAUUAUCAUACCCUGUGAGUAGACAGACUCGCAGAUCCCACCAACUUUGAAGGGAAGAAAAUGUGCAUCUUUAAUUUAAUGGGAUUGGUUUCCUUUGUAACCCUAUGUAUCUUAUUUAUGCAUUUGAAUUUCUAGAUUUAUAAUCCUAUGUAUUCUAUGUAUCUAU